GGAUCCGCGCUGCAUUAGCUAGUUGGUAAGGUAACGGCUUACCAAGGCAACGAUGCAUAGCCGACCUGAGAGGGUGAUCGGCCACACUGGAACUGAGACACGGUCCAGACUCCUACGGGAGGCAGCAGUAGGGAAUCUUCCGCAAUGGGCGAAAGCCUGACGGAGCAACGCCGCGUGAGUGAUGAAGGUCUUCGGAUCGUAAAACUCUGUUAUUAGGGAAGAACAUAUGUGUAAGUAACUGUGCACAUCUUGACGGUACCUAAUCAGAAAGCCACGGCUAACUACGUGCCAGCAGCCGCGGUAAUACGUAGGUGGCAAGCGUUAUCCGGAAUUAUUGGGCGUAAAGCGCGCGUAGGCGGUUUUUUAAGUCUGAUGUGAAAGCCCACGGCUCAACCGUGGAGGGUCAUUGGAAACUGGAAAACUUGAGUGCAGAAGAGGAAAGUGGAAUUCCAUGUGUAGCGGUGAAAUGCGCAGAGAUAUGGAGGAACACCAGUGGCGAAGGCGACUUUCUGGUCUGUAACUGACGCUGAUGUGCGAAAGCGUGGGGAUCAAACAGGAUUAGAUACCCUGGUAGUCCACGCCGUAAACGAUGAGUGCUAAGUGUUAGGGGGUUUCCGCCCCUUAGUGCUGCAGCUAACGCAUUAAGCACUCCGCCUGGGGAGUACGACCGCAAGGUUGAAACUCAAAGGAAUUGACGGGGACCCGCACAAGCGGUGGAGCAUGUGGUUUAAUUCGAAGCAACGCGAAGAACCUUACCAAAUCUUGACAUCCUUUGACAACUCUAGAGAUAGAGCUUUCCCCUUCGGGGGACAAAGUGACAGGUGGUGCAUGGUUGUCGUCAGCUCGUGUCGUGAGAUGUUGGGUUAAGUCCCGCAACGAGCGCAACCCUUAAGCUUAGUUGCCAUCAUUAAGUUGGGCACUCUAAGUUGACUGCCGGUGACAAACCGGAGGAAGGUGGGGAUGACGUCAAAUCAUCAUGCCCCUUAUGAUUUGGGCUACACACGUGCUACAAUGGACAAUACAAAGGGCAGCGAAACCGCGAGGUCAAGCAAAUCCCAUAAAGUUGUUCUCAGUUCGGAUUGUAGUCUGCAACUCGACUACAUGAAGCUGGAAUCGCUAGUAAUCGUAGAUCAGCAUGCUACGGUGAAUACGUUCCCGGGUCUUGUACACACCGCCCGUCACACCACGAGAGUUUGUAACACCCGAAGCCGGUGGAGUAACCUUUUAGGAGCUAGCCGUCGAAG
rnacentral:rRNA from 1 species